UGUUCUGUGGCUUAGUUGGUUAAAGCGCCGAACCAAUGAUACGGAGUCGUGGGUUCGAGUUCCAUCAAAACUG
rnacentral:tRNA from 1 species